rnacentral:rRNA from 1 species
GAUGAACGCUGGCGGCGUGCCUAAUACAUGCAAGUCGAGCGAACAGACGAGGAGCUUGCUCCUCUGACGUUAGCGGCGGACGGGUGAGUAACACGUGGAUAACCUACCUAUAAGACUGGGAUAACUUCGGGAAACCGGAGCUAAUACCGGAUAAUAUAUUGAACCGCAUGGUUCUAUAGUGAAAGACGGCUUUGCUGUCACUUAUAGAUGGAUCCGCGCCGCAUUAGCUAGUUGGUAAGGUAACGGCUUACCAAGGCAACGAUGCGUAGCCGACCUGAGAGGGUGAUCGGCCACACUGGAACUGAGACACGGUCCAGACUCCUACGGGAGGCAGCAGUAGGGAAUCUUCCGCAAUGGGCGAAAGCCUGACGGAGCAACGCCGCGUGAGUGAUGAAGGUCUUCGGAUCGUAAAACUCUGUUAUUAGGGAAGAACAAAUGUGUAAGUAACUAUGCACGUCUUGACGGUACCUAAUCAGAAAGCCACGGCUAACUACGUG